GAUGAACGCUGGCGGCGUGCUUAACACAUGCAAGUCGAACGAAGCAAUAUUGAAACUUCGGUUUCAAUAUUGACUUAGUGGCGGACGGGUGAGUAACGCGUAGGUAACCUGCCUUAUACAGGGGGGUAACAGCUGGAAACGGCUGCUAAUACCGCAUCACAGGGUGACGUGGCAUGCAUUUAUUGUCAAAGAUUUAUAGGUAUGAGAUGGACAUGCGUCUGAUUAGCUAGUUGGUGAGGUAAUGGCUCACCAAGGGGACGGUCAGUUGCAGAGUUGAGGGAGUGAUCGGCAACAUUGGGACUGAGACACGGCCCAAACACCUACGGGAGUCAGCAGUGGGGAAUACUGCACAAUGGGGGAAACCCUGAUGCAGCGACGCCGCGUGAGUGAUGAAGUAUUUCGGUAUGGAAAGCUCUAUCAGCAGGGACGAAAAAAGACGGUACCUGACUAAGAAGCCCCGGCUAACUACGUGCCAGCCGCCGCCGUAAUAC
rnacentral:rRNA from 1 species